rnacentral:rRNA from 1 species
UGGGGAAUAUUGCACAAUGGGCGCAAGCCUGAUGCAGCCAUGCCGCGUGUGUGAAGAAGGCCUUCGGGUUGUAAAGCACUUUCAGCGGGGAGGAAGGCGAUAAGGUUAAUAACCUUGUCGAUUGACGUUACCCGCAGAAGAAGCACCGGCUAACUCCGUGCCAGCAGCCGCGGUAAUACGGAGGGUGCAAGCGUUAAUCGGAAUUACUGGGCGUAAAGCGCACGCAGGCGGUCUGUCAAGUCGGAUGUGAAAUCCCCGGGCUCAACCUGGGAACUGCAUUCGAAACUGGCAGGCUAGAGUCUUGUAGAGGGGGGUAGAAUUCCAGGUGUAGCGGUGAAAUGCGUAGAGAUCUGGAGGAAUACCGGUGGCGAAGGCGGCCCCCUGGACGAAGACUGACGCUCAGGUGCGAAAGCGUGGGGAGCAAACAGGA